AAAGAAACUAACCAGGAUUCCCCUAGUAGCGGCGAGCGAAGAGGGAAAAGCCCAGCGCCGAAUCCCCGCCCGCCCAGUCGGGCGCGGGACAUGUGGCGUACGGAAGAUUGUUUUCCCGGUGUCGGCGUGGGGGCCCGAGUCCUUCUGAUUGAGGCUCAACCCAGGGACGGUGUGAGGCCGGUAGCGGCCCCCGUCGCGCCGGGGCGCAGUCUUCCCGGAGUCGGGUUGCUUGGGAAUGCAGCCCAAAGUGGGUGGUAAACUCCAUCUAAGGCUAAAUACUGGCACG
rnacentral:rRNA from 1 species